UACGUAGGGGGCAAGCGUUGUCCGGAAUCAUUGGGCGUAAAGCGCGUGUAGGCGGCCCGGUAAGUCCGCUGUGAAAGUCGGGGGCUCAACCCUCGAAAGCCGGUGGAUACUGUCGGGCUAGAGUGCGGGAGAGGCGAGUGGAAUUCCUGGUGUAGCGGUGAAAUGCGCAGAUAUCAGGAGGAACACCAAUUGCGAAGGCAGCUCGCUGGAACGUAACUGACGCUGAGACGCGAAAGCGUGGGGAGCAAACAGG
rnacentral:rRNA from 1 species